CAGAGUCUGCUCCUUGCAGAAGGGCUCUCCACAGGGCUCAGGUUGGAGAAGAGUAAUCCCAGGAGCAGCAGAACUGAAGGCUGAUGUGCUUGGGGUUCGCACUAUGUUCAGUGGUGUCUCCUGGGGGGGGCAUUGCUGAAGCUUCGCUGUUUGUUAGGGCGUUCAUGCAUCCUUCUCCCUGCCUCACCUCCAUAUGAACUUUCUAGAGAAGGUCUAACCCACACAGCAGCUGCUUCUUCAGCAAGGACCUGGUGAGAGCUGUCUUUCCUAUCUCAGACCUGUAGGAACUUCUUGCCUUUAAGACGCCUCCCUUUCUCUCAGAGCCGAUUGACAGCAGUUGCAGAAUAACUCAGGUCGGAUGGGACCUCUGGAGGUCACCUGGCCCAGCACCUGGUCAAAACAGGGCUAGUUUCAAAGGUCAGGUUUCUCAGAGCUGCGCUAGGUCCAAUUUUGAGCACUCCAACAUAGGAAGGGGGUGGUCACACAUGGUGACGUGGUCACCUUCAUAACAUGACGCCACGAGCCUCAGACCCUUCAGAAACCAGGGCUUUAGUCAGUGUAGCUGGAGGUUCCCUGGAGCUGAAGGCUGACGACCUGCCUGCGUGAGAUGCUGCCAUCACACGGAGGUCUGCUUUGAAGUCUGAGAAAGAGAGGAGCAGGAUUAUUUAAAGAAAAGGAGAUGACAAAGCACAGAUUCUUACUGCGCCUGCUGAUUUACCGCAAGGGGAAUCACCCCCCUUCUACUGCAGGUGCCUUUGCCCUCAGCUAUCGUGGGCACCCCUCACCUGGGCUUGUGUUUCUUGCAGUUUUUCAAGAGAGAGCUGCUUGAAGACUCCUGUGAAGGCGGGAUCGCCCUUUCUGUAACUCAACUGAAAUAAUGGAAAAAGUGAGUGCGUGCGUGGAAAAAUGAACUGAUGGCCCCAAGCGUGAAUUUAUCCAGGUGUCUCUGUGAGUCAUAGAGCUUAUCGUCCAGGUUCGUGCUUGGUGGCUGGGGCUGCCACUGCUGCCUUCCCCCUGGCGUAUGUCAAGAUCCUUGCAUACAAAAUUGUUCAAUUCCCUUUCAAAAUAAUGGUAUGGGAUUCAGCUCAACGCCCUCCCCGGGGUCAGGCCCUAAUGUUUUGUUCAGCAUGUGGCAAUGGCCAUGGGCCCUGGUUGUGUGUCACCACCCGGCUGUCCCCAUCCCUCCCUCCGUCCCUCGGCACUCCUGGGGCUUCAGUUUGGGCUGCCGAAGGAGUUGUACUGCAGGAGAAGCAGCCCGGGGACCCUCACGGGCAGUGCCUGAAGGCGGGUUUCCUCCUUUGUGGCAGCACCAACAGGUGCAGGAUUUUUCUGUCAACAAAAACGAAAAUAGUUCUUGUGAGGAAGGAAACCACAGGGGCUGACAGCGACUGCUGCUGCAGGCAGCGCUUUGUCCGCAGCCCUGUUUUUGCUGAGAUAAAGACAGCGGUGGCCAGGCCACGCUUGGGCUUCAUGAAACUCAGCUACUGGAUGUUACAGCUUACUCUCAGCUUCUUUUUUUUUUUCUUGGGGGGUGAGCAGCUUUAAAUAGAUCAGCAGAGGCAGAGGAAGCCCUCUCCAAGCUCAGUUGGUUAUUUUUCUGAUGAGUAGCUGAUGAUAGGUAGAUCCUUUGGGCUGCUUCUGCUUUCAGUGAGACAGCUGGGGACUAAAUAAUUCAGCAGCAGCUGAAAGGCGUGCUGCAGUUGCGCGUGGCUUGCUUGGACCUCCGAGAUGGAUUUUGUCUGGAGCUGAUUUCAUACCAGCACAGGGAGGUGAGGCAUCAGUGGAGAUGGUCCCUUGUUUUUUACAGGUUAAUACUGGUGUAGGGAUGGUGGAAAGGAACGGGAGCUACUAUUUUUCUUUGUUUCAUCGUGGCUACGUCUCUCAGAUCUGAGUGCUACGGCUCCCCUCCAGAGGAUACCUGACAGGGUUGUGUUUGUUUCCAUGCUUUAUUUGAUGUAUGGUUUCUCAGCUGACCGUGUUCUUCAUAAUACAGCCAGGUUUUGAAAACUGCAUACGUUUUCUCAGGCUGUUGCUUUGGAGAACAUCAGCUUUAGGUAGGACAUCUGAACCCAAGCUGUGAAGGUGCUGCAUUGUUAACCCCUUGCAAUUUCUGCUCUGACACCUAGCACAGCAGCAGGAAACCAGCCGGGUGCUGAGGAUGUUUGCUGUGGCAUGGGCUUUUGCAUGUGCCCGUUUAAAGAUGUUAUCUCUCGCAGCCAACGCUGUCAAGUUUCAGUUUUUGGUGGUAUUUUUACUCUCAGGCAAUUUAUUUAUUUAUUUUUCAAAGAACUGAGAAAGCCAACCAACCCAGCCCACUGCAAUGGGCCUGCUGGGAUACCUUCCUGAGCACCUUGCGCUUGAGGGCGAGAAAAUAUUGACACACAAAUACUGCUGCGGGCUCACUGCGGGUGCAAGCCCCAGAGAGCUAAUAGAUGUUAAAACCUGUUUACUUUAGCAGUAAAUUGGAGCCAUUCUCCCUGCUUGGCCGCUUUGCCCAGCCUCAAACCCACAGCGCAGCAACGAGUGGAGCUGGCAGGAAGCUGCGGUGUUCGUGUCUCGGCGUCCUGAAGCACAAGCACAGGAAGGACGCUGAUCAAACAGCCCCCACACCACCCCACUGACCCCCUCGGGAGCCCUGUCCUCCUCUGGGGCUGGCAGAGGCUUUGUUCCUCCCUGGUUGCAGCCCCAGAUCCUCCACGUGGGGCUUUCUGCUGCCCCAACAGCCAGCCUUGUCCCUCCCGGCACGACGCCUUCACGGGACACUGCAGCUGCCUGCAGGGCUGGAGGAGUGCCCCGCAUGCCCAAGUUCAAGAUGCCUUUCCCAAAAAGCUGUUUUCCCAGAGGUUUCCGCUGCCCCAGCACAUGCGGCGUGACUCAUCCCUGUAUGUGUAAGGGCACUCGCUUUUCACGGCUUCCUUUCGCGUUUGCCAAAGUUUGCUGGAGGAAAAUGGGAUGAUGCCUGUUCUGCUUGAAGGCCUUGUGAUGCUGUGACACUGCGUUUGAGGAGAGCACUGCUACAUCUCUGGUGUCUGCUGUUGGGAAACAAGAGCUUCUUGGUACCACAGAGAGACUUUAGGAGCAUUUUUUUUUGCUUGGCUUGGUGGAGCAAAGUUUACAGGAAAAAUAAUAAGUGAUGAGCACAAGCAAAACUGGUACAAGAUCUCUGUGAGUAUUUAAAAGUGAUCUGAAAUAAAUCAGAUUUCAGUGUAAGCUGGGGAAAAAAACAAACAAACAAACAAAAAAACAACAUACAAACACGAAAGAUCAAUUCUGCAUCAGUUACCUGGAGAUCAGCGGUCUGCUGUGCCGUGCCCAGCUUUCCUCAGGACGCAUGUGCUGAGUAUGCCCUGUGCUGGGGACGGGGAUGCAGGCAAGCACCUGCCAGGAUGCAGGAGCAAGGAGGGCAGCGCCGUGCUCCCUGCUGGUACGGGUGACCCUGGGGACAUCAGCUGGGGGAGCACAGCCAGCCCUGCGGAACAAACCCCUGAGUUUUGAGACCCUCGGCCCAUGUGGCCGUUUCUGUUGGGUUAUGAUAUCCCAAUCCAUCCAUUUCACAGUUUCAGGUUCCGGGUCAGGUGGAGGAGAAGCAAAGCCAGAGCAGUGUGUUAGUGAGGAAUGACACUUCUGGCAAGCCCACAUUUAUUCACAGAAAUCUGGUUAGCCAGAUUUGAAGCAGUUUUACUUAAAUCUGUGAAGUUUCCGUCUGAAUAAGGAUUUUAAAAGCGAGCAGAUUGUGCUACAUCAAGCUCCCUGGUCCACUGCAACUGUCUGCAGCAAAUGCUAAUUUGGGGUAACACAGCCUUGUUGAAAGGGAAAAAAUAAAAUUGCAAAGGGAAUUAGCUGAAGGAACAUCCGUCCCAGUGGGUCGGAGUGAUGAUAUUUUUAUGUAGAGGCUUUAAUUAAAUGAACAGCAUCUCCUUGUGCAAGCAGCUCCGGGCUGCGGCGGGGCGUUGAGGCACGGUGCUCCCUUGUGCCCUGUCCCAGGAUGGCCGCAGCAGCGUGGCCGGGCUCGCUGCCCCAUAAACACGCUCCGUGCCAGAGCAGCCUGCCGCGUGGGUCACUCCAGGUAAACCCAACAGGAUGUGUGUGCUCCGACUUCCCUCGGCAGCGAAAACAGCCUCAGCGCCCCACCAGGAAACCGGCCCCGCUGCCAGGCGCGCGCUAUCUGUCCGUCUGUCCGUCAGCAGCAGGGUGCCAGCGGGGUGUUUUGUCCCAGUGCUACACAAGUGGCACGAGCCGUCUGGCCAGGAAAAGUCCAGCAUGCCCAUUGUUUUUGUCACCCCUUGGGUGCUGCCUCGCAUCCCGUAGGAGAGCUGGGGGUUUAAGGAGUGGGUCUGAGGAAAAGCAAGCUGGCUCUGUCAGCACCAGGGGAAUGGAUCAUAGGGUGAGGAGUGCUGGAGAAGCUCUGUGGUGUGGUCUGGUGCCUCAGCUGCUUUUUUUUUUGGAUGGUUUUGGCUGAUCUGAUCGAAGAUGUGGCUUCUUGCCGGUGAAGCCCAUAAUUUUACCUGUGGGAGUCUUCUUGCUGUGAGCAGUUCUGGAUUAUUGGCAGGGACCAAGCAGGUGAAGAGUUUACUGUUAGGAGUGUCCUCUGGCCUUUGGUUUGGUCUCAAGCUCUUUCAUAUGCCCCCUGUUUGAGCAGCAGCACCUUUCAGAAAGUUCACUCCAUCAGUCCUGCCCUUCAUCCAACAGCCUGCACGUCUCCUUAUGCAUCGAGCCCCACCAAGGAGCUGCUUUCACUGCAGCUCGUGCUCAAUGCGUGCUCCCCUGAGAACCUCACCUCUUCCAUCGCUGCUGCUUCCCAACAUGGGGGCACAGCCUGCCUUGCUCCCAAGCUGCCUUCCUCCACACUUACACAUAAAAUGGCAUGAAUAAUGUAUAUUUUUUUAAAUUUAAGAUCACUCCUGUCUGGCCUCACUUUUCCUUAAAAUUAUCCCAGAGUGCCCGUUGCAAAUAGAGGUUUAUUUUGCUGUCGGAUGGGAUGCUAUUGUGCUGAGACCCCAGUGCUCUGCUGGGCAGCAGCUGUGCAGCUAGGGGAGGCUGGCCAGGCUUCCAGCAGCACCCAGAGCCUGCUGCUCUUCACUUCUCCCUCCUAGGUCUUUCUGCACUGAUUGGAGCGAAACUUGUUUUCUCAUUGCUUCCCCCAACUGAGUAAAUAUGUGCUCAGUGCUGCGGCAUUGUUCUUUGGUUUUGGGCUCUUUCCAGCUGAUUAAUUAUUACAGCCACACAGAGGCCGGGUGGUUUUUGCAAUGUGAGAAUGGGGAUGUGCGUCAGACCACUGGCCUGACUGGCCCAGUAUCCUGUCUCCUGUGAUGACUUGGAACAGGCGUUUGGGACAAGAUUUUUGGAGCCAGGGCAAGAUACCAGAUUUAAGCCCAUGGAAGCAUGGUUGGAAACAGCCAGUUGGUGUCCUGGUGGCCUGUGCUGUGCGUAAGAGCUCAGUAUUACAGCUCCGAAGCCUGUGAUGUCUCCAUCUGUGUGACCAUCCCUCCAGAAACUGCCAUGCUUUUUCAUGGCCACUGCUGUCCAGGUUUCCCUAUGGCACUGAGGAGAGCCCUGAAGGAUGCUGGAGGUACCUGGGGACGACGUGGUGCUGGGCAAGGGGCAGCAGGAGCUGUCUGCACAUCAGCUUCCCAGGUUUCCAUCCCCACCUGAACCACUGCAUGCUGAUCCCUGUUUCUGGUACAGCAGUAAAACCCUUCGCCACGGUCUCUCACCACCCAAGGGAGCGACCAGACAGCAGAGACAAGCAGAGAGCUCAAUAUCCAGUUGCUCGGAACCAGCCAUCUGUUUUUGCCAUCUAACAAACCCUACUGGGUGAUUUCGACAGAGAGAGCUGUCUUGUGUAAGGUUUCCUCAACACAGUAAAAACUUGUGCGUUACAAGGCACCGCGUGCAGGCAAGCACGGUCUUGGGCUAAUUAAGUUAUGAUGUUGCACAGACGUGCGUUAGAGAUGUCAGGGAGGCACUGGGGGUGGAGAUGGGUUGAUAUCCAAGCAAAACUGAGAUAUUUUGGAUGAAUGGAGACUGGUUUCGGCCUGUGGCUAAGAUACCCUCUCCCAGAGCUGGACAGUCCUGUGCUCAGACACGGCUGAGGGAGGAGAUGAUCUGCUGAAUCAGCCAUGAGAUGCCAUCACCUGGUGCAGGCUUCUCAGCCUCUUCUGACCUGAACUGCUUUGUACUUCCCAGUGUCAGAGACCCACCAGGUAGUGAGUUUAAGCCCACUGGGCUCAAAUAGCAAAGUUAUCCAUAUGACUUUUGACUGUUGCAGGGAAGUGGGGAGUAGGAGAUCUGUAGGGCUGCUCUCCUAACAUCUUGACUACCUGGGCUGAGACACUCAAAGAACAUUUGACUGGGGCCUAGCUGUCCAGCAGGGCCACCACAGUCCCAGUCUGAUGUACCCGUUACCCAGAGUGUGGAUGCUUCUGGUAAGGUAAGCCACAUACCCGCCAAACAGAUUCAAGGAGAACUGUGCCUCAAGAAGCUGAGAAAGAUUACCACUCUUCUCCAGGAAAGCUGGAGCUUCUAGCCUUGAAAUGCUCCACAGCUAGCCAGUGUGUGAUUUCCCUUCCUGUAUCUAUCUGUACGUGACUGACAAUAAGAGCAACUCAUUUCCUGCAUCUCAAAUUCCUCAAGACUGCAUUACUGCACACCAGAAGACUGCAGAAGUAACAGACUUUAUGCUAAAUAUCAUUCCUGAAGGUCUGAUGGAGCAGCAGAUGCUUUGUCUAAUGGGCUGCUCCACGCAGAAGCCCUGGUAAGAAGGCACGGCACAGGAGCAAAGGCUGAUAAAGCUGACUUCCACCAUUCAACCCACAAAGAGAUGGCGAAUUAUGAGUUUGCAACCAACAGUACUAAACUUCUGCAGCAGAUAAUUUCCACCAAGGUGAGGCCUUCUGUCAGCUCCGAAGGCAGAUACAAGUACUGCCAGAGGCUUUCUCUUGAAGCCAGCAGAGGAGCUGGUACCAGCUGUGAUGUUUCCAGUUUGGGCUUGGUGGGGAUGGGAGAAGAAGGACCUUACUCAAGCAGUGUUCUGACCUUAAAACUUCAGACGGGCACAAACCCUCUACCUCUCCUUCAAAGAGACACAAGCAACUUAUUACUCCCCUCGAGGCCUUUUUGUCUGGAGGUGGCCAUGCCUUUUUUGCUAAUGAGGAAAAAAAAAGCAACCAAACACGUAGGUCAGGCUGUGUUGGCCAAAGUGUUUAAGUACUGCUGUAUGAGGGAGGAACAGGACAUCAAAAGGAAUUACAAGACAGCGAGUCUUGUCAUGCUUUCUCAUCUUUCUUCUAGAAGAGAAAGGACAAUUUUCCUCUCUGGAAAAUCUCUCCAGUGUUUUGCUUUUAGCAGCUUUUGUCCUGGCGUAUGCUCCUGGAUGUAAGAGCAGCGACCACGAAACGCUGGGGAGCAGCUGGCACAUCUGACCAGCCAGGCUGAACCAGCAGCGUGAGCCUGGAGAACGCGCUUUCAUUUCCAUCACCAUGCUUGUGAUUUCAGCAGGACAAAAAGAAAU